CACCUCACCUCUCCAGUCUCCACGAGUCCACCGUCCUCUUCCUCCAAUGGCGUGAGCUGCUCAGGGUUUAACCACCGUCUUCAGAGAGCAUUGCCGCACACGAGAUUGAGAAAAAUCAACACCCACGCCGUCCGAAUCGAUGAGCUGCGGCUCUGGCGGCGCCGCGGGGCCGGGGGACGGCGGGCGGGCCGAGUGGCAGCGCAUCUACGACCGGGUCGAGGCACUCGCCGCCGGCCGCGCGCGGCUUUAGGCGCGCAACAGGACCCAGCACGAGUUCUGGGACGCCCGCGACAAGAUCAACCACUCCCGACUCCACCAGGCGGAGCUGAGCAGGAGCAGGUGGGAGGCUGCCUGCAGGGAGCUGCUCCCUGGAGAUAAUCCCAAGCUCGCCGAACUGCUAGAGAGUGAUUUGGAGGAUUCAAGAACUUGUGAAGCUCUUUUGCACACUGAAAACUCAGAACUGCUGGCACAACUGAAGGAAGAUGGAACUUGUGUAG